AGAGAGAGACAUGCGCGCAUAUCAAUAAGCGGAGGAAAAGAAACUAACAAGGAUUCCCUUAGUAACGGCGAGUGAAGCGGGAAGAGCUCAAAUUUGAAAUCUUCAAGGUUCUACCUUGACGAAUUGUAGUUUAAAGAAGUGUUUUCUGCUGAAGUUUUGGUAAAAGUUCUUUGGAAUAGGACAUCAUAGAGGGUGAGAAUCCCGUAUUUGACCAUUAUUUUCCAGCUUUGUGAUACACUUUCAAAGAGUCGGAUUGUUUGGGAAUGCAGUCCAAAAUGGGUGGUAAAUUUCAUCUAAAGCUAAAUAUUGGCGAGAGACCGAUAGCGAACAAGUACCGUGAGGGAAAGAUGAAAAGAACUUUGAAAAGAGAGUUAAACAGUACGUGAAAUUGUCAAAAGGGAAGCGUUUGACACCAGUGUUGUUUUCUCGAAAGAUCAAUUAAAAAUGGCUCGAUUUUGUAUUGUUGAGACCUUAAAAGCUCACUGUGACAUUUUUCGUGUCUUUUUUAAUGCACUUUUCGUUUAACAAGUCAACAUCAGUUUCUUUUGUUGUAAAAGGGUCAUUGGAAGGUGGCUUUCUUUUCGGAGAAAGUGUUUAUAGCCUUUGGCCUCUGCAAUCGGAGAGACUGAGGUCUGCAGCGCUAGACUCUUCGGGGUUAGAUACAUUUGUGCUAAGUUAUAGCUUUUUAUAGACAACUUGUUGACUAUAAUUAGUCUUGUAGCUUACUCGCUUAUGCUAUUUUACCUACGCUUAGGAUGUUGAGUCGUAGAGCACGCAG
rnacentral:rRNA from 1 species